CCUACGGGUGGCAGCAGUGAGGAAUAUUGGUCAAUGGACGCAAGUCUGAACCAGCCAUGCCGCGUGCAGGAAGACGGCUCUAUGAGUUGUAAACUGCUUUUGUACGAGGGUAAACGCAGAUACGCGUAUCUGUCUGAAAGUAUCGUACGAAUAAGGAUCGGCUAACUCCGUGCCAGCAGCCGCGGUAAUACGGAGGAUUCAAGCGUUAUCCGGAUUUAUUGGGUUUAAAGGGUGUGUAGGCGGUCGGAUAAGUUAGAGGUGAAAUCCCGAGGCUCAACUUCGGAAUUGCCUCUGAUACUGUUCGGCUAGAGAGUAGUUGCGGUAGGCGGAAUGUGUGGUGUAGCGGUGAAAUGCUUAGAGAUCAUACAGAACACCGAUUGCGAAGGCAGCUUACCAAGCUACUUCUGACGUUGAGGCACGAAAGCGUGGGGAGCGAACAGGAUUAGAUACCCCAGUAGUC
rnacentral:rRNA from 1 species